rnacentral:rRNA from 1 species
UGGGGAAUAUUGGACAAUGGGCGAAAGCCUGAUCCAGCAAUGCCGCGUGAGUGAUGAAGGCCCUAGGGUUGUAAAGCUCUUUUACCCGGGUUGAUAAUGACAGUACCGGGAGAAUAAGCCCCGGCUAACUCCGUGCCAGCAGCCGCGGUAAUACGGAGGGGGCUAGCGUUGUUCGGAAUUACUGGGCGUAAAGCGCGCGUAGGCGGCUUUGUAAGUUAGAGGUGAAAGCCCGAAGCUCAACUUCGGAAUUGCCUUUAAGACUGCAUCGCUAGAAUCGUGGAGAGGUGAGUGGAAUUCCGAGUGUAGAGGUGAAAUUCGUAGAUAUUCGGAAGAACACCAGUGGCGAAGGCGACUCACUGGACACGUAUUGACGCUGUGGUGCGAAAGCGUGGGGAGCAAACAGGAUUAGAUACCCUGGUAGUCCACGCCGUAAACGAUGAUGACGUAGCUGUCGGGCGCUUAGCGUUUCGGUGGCGCAGCUAACGCGUUAAGUCAUCCG